rnacentral:rRNA from 1 species
CCUACGGGAGGCUGCAGUGGGGAAUAUUGGACAAUGGGCGAAAGCCUGAUCCAGCCAUGCCGCGUGUGUGAAGAAGGCCUUCGGGUUGUAAAGCACUUUCAGUGGGGAAGAAAGCCUUGGGGCUAAUACCCUCGAGGAAGGACAUCACCCACAGAAGAAGCACCGGCUAACUCCGUGCCAGCAGCCGCGGUAAUACGGAGGGUGCGAGCGUUAAUCGGAAUUACUGGGCGUAAAGCGCGCGUAGGCGGUCUGAUAAGCCGGUUGUGAAAGCCCCGGGCUCAACCUGGGAACGACAUCCGGAACUGUCAGGCUAGAGUGCAGGAGAGGAAGGUAGAAUUCCCGGUGUAGCGGUGAAAUGCGUAGAGAUCGGGAGGAAUACCAGUGGCGAAGGCGGCCUUCUGGACUGACACUGACGCUGAGGUGCGAAAGCGUGGGUAGCAAACAGGAUUAGAUACCCUUGUAGUC